rnacentral:lncRNA from 1 species
AAUCGGCUGCCAGCCGGAUUGGCCGGCGUAUCAUUCCAGAAUGUACUGUUUGUUCUGUGGGGUUUAGGAGUUCUACAGUGGUUCUGCCCCAUCUUUCUAAAAAUACAAUACAGUGUUUCACUAUGUUACCCAGGCUGGUCUUGAACUCCUGGGCUCAAGUGAUCCUCCCACUUUGGCCUCUCAAAGCACUGGGAUUACAGGGUCUUACUCUGUCGCCCAGGCUGGAGUACAGUGGUGUGAUAUCGGCUCACUGCAACCUCUACCUACCUGGUUCAAGUGAUUCUCCUGCCUCAGCCUCCCGAGUAGCUGGGACUACGGACUUGCCAAAGAAGCUGCUUAUUUCACAGAAGGAUGGUGCUGGCUGAAAGAUACUUCCUUGAAACUGAGAGAUUGCUUCCUUAGACAGGUCUCCUUGAAGAGAAUCCCACUCUGUCAGCCCGGCUG